AUUGAACGCUGGCGGCAGGCCUAACACAUGCAAGUCGCACGAGUGGCGGACGGGUGAGUAAUGUAUGGGAAACUGCCCGAUGGAGGGGGAUAACUACUGGAAACGGUAGCUAAUACCGCCUCCCCUCGGAUGUGACCAGAUGGGAUUGGCUAGUAGGUGGGGUAAUGGCUCACCUCGGCGACGAUCCCGAGAUGGUCUGAGGGGAUGACCAGCCACACUGGAACUGAGACACGGUCCAGCCUCCUACGGUGUGCAGCAGGGGGGAAUAUUGCAGAAUGGGCUGAAGCCUGAUGCAGCCAUGCCGCGUGUAUGAAGAAGGCCUUCGGGUUGGAAAGUACGUUCAGCGAGGAGGCGUUACUCGCAGAAGAAGCACCGGCUAACUCCGUGCCAGCAGCCGCGGUAAUUC
rnacentral:rRNA from 1 species